GGAGAACAGUGGAAGCACGGUGA
rnacentral:siRNA from 1 species